rnacentral:lncRNA from 1 species
GAAAGAAAAGGGAGAGAGGUCCUGUUAUUUUCCUUAAGUACUGUUUGAAUGUUUCAGUGUGGGAAGGACGCUUGAACCUUCUUUUGGUUUAAAAUUUUAAACGUUUAGUUGUUAAACAUAAGUGAGGUGUGGUUCUUUAAAAAAUGAUCUGGAAAUUAAACAGUGCUGCUGGCUGCAGGGGAGGAGGCCUGCUCUGCACAGCUGCGGGCAAAGCCCUAAAGGAAUGGAGAAAGAAAUGGAAAGAAGUCUGCUCACCUGGUAGAAACUAACCCAUGAGUAGAAAGGAUUAUCCUGGGUUUUCCUACAGGGCAGUUUAGGAAAAAGAGAGCCAGUUGGGAGCAAAUUGGGAACUUAUUCCUCAUU